AGUACUAUGGGUUUAAACUAGCAUCUGCUGCAAGGGAAGAUACCCCGAUCAUUGAAGUAGAACCCUAUAUUCCUUUUAAUAUUAAUCCAUCAGGAAUGCAACCUGUUCUCACUACCACUUAUCUAUUGGCUUUUCCAAGUAUUGUUGCAAGUAUCCUUGGUUCACCAUUUUGGGAGCAUGUUAAGGAGAUAUUGAACCCUGCAACAUCUGUUGGAGCAGAACCAUGGGUUUAAU